GUAGGGGGCGAGCGUUAUCCGGAUUUAUUGGGCGUAAAGCGUGUGUAGGCGGUUUGUUAAGUGUAAGAUUAAAGCCUGGAGCUCAACUCCAGUUCGUCUUACAAACUGGCAGACUUGAGUGCAGUAGAGGCAAGUGGAAUCUCUAGUGUAGCGGUUAAAUGCGUAGAUAUUAGAAGGAACACCAGUGGCGAAGGCGGCUUGCUGGGCUGUUACUGACGCUGAGACACGAAAGCGUGGGGAGCAAA
rnacentral:rRNA from 1 species